GACUCCUUUAACCAUGAGAUUUGUAUCUCACCAAAUCAUAUUUUUCUUGAAUGUAUGAGUUGUUAUCUCUAACUAACUCCCUCCACAUCCCAAGAUGCUGAUCGUAAUGGAUACUGAUGCCUCCUUUAUAAAUCAUUCUCUAAGGAGCCUCUAGGUAAAUGAGCUUAAAGGAGAUCCAAACAAAGUCUCACUUGUAAGCAUAG
rnacentral:lncRNA from 1 species